AAAAAUUUAAAUUAAUUUACUAAAAAAUUAAUAGUUAUGUUCUUUAAAUUUAAAAAAUUUGGCGGUAUUUUAGUCUUAUUAGAGGAACCUGUUUAUUAAUUGAUAAUCCACGAUUAAUUUUACUUAUUUUCAUAAUUCAUAUAUCGCUGUCAUGAAUAUAUUGAAAAAUUUACUUUCUUUAUUUAUUAUUAUAAUUUAUGUUAAGUCAAGAUGUGGUUUAUAAAUAAGAAUAAAAUGGGUUACAUUAAAUUUUAUUUUUGGAUUUUAAAUGAAAAUUAAAAUGAAAUUGGAUUUAAUAGUAAAUUUAUUUAUUUUAUUAAUAUGAAGAAAGAUCUA
rnacentral:rRNA from 1 species